rnacentral:lncRNA from 1 species
AUUCGCGUCUGCGAGCUCCGGAGUGACUUUCCCUUCCUGUGAAGGCAAUCCGGCCCUUUCCGGUGGAGGACCCUUCCCCCUGGGUUGAUCUUGAGGAACUUAAGAGACGGUGUUUUGACUCGACUCCUUUCCCCUUUUUCCUCCCGGUACCAAAGCGGUUUUGUUUGCUGUUUAUACUCUACCCCGUGGAAAGGCGGCUAGCUGGCUAAAGGGUUUUAUGCCUGGGGGAGGAUGAGUCGCUAUUUGGUCGUGACUUGUUUCUGUUUAAAAUUAUUAUUAUUUACCAAAUGAAAAUGUUGUACUUACCAGUCCAAAGUGCGGGGCUUAUAUUGUUAGAAGACCACUUAAAAUGCUCCUGGAUUCUGACAAAUAUUGCAUGAGAAAUUUGCAAUCAGCCGUGAAGCAUGUUUCCCCUUCUGAAAGUUUAACACGUGCCGUAUCUACGGCUGGGAUCUAACACAUCCCAUUCCUACAGGCUGAGAUCCAGACCUUCUUAGAGAGAACACAGCCAGUGGAGAGUCACUCUAUGGCAGGAAAUAUUCUGUAUUGCCUUACAGGCAGAACUUGCUGAAACUCCAACCUCUGGAAAUUACUGGAACCCUGCAUUCUAGAACUUGCUGGAAACCCACCCUCUGGAAUUGGCCUGCUAGAGUGCCUGAGAAGGAUGUUCAUAGGGAAAUGUUUCAGCAGAGGAACUCUACUACAAAAACCACAAGAGGGAGGGUGCCAGGGGAAGUGGCCUGGUGCUAUUGAAACUGCAACACAGAAGCCAGCCACUGGAGAGAGCUGCACAAGCUGCAGGAACACCCUACCCAGUAAGCCGGCCAGAAGGAGGGAGCAAAACCUUUUCUCUCUGCAACAUCUUUCCAGUUUCCUCUACUGGAAAAGCUUCAUUGCCAGCUGACAAAAGGAAAAAUACUUAAAUGGAUCAGAUCCAUUUUCACAGAGCAGUCAAUAAUGGUGAAUUUGGAGAUGAUAAGCAACAAAUUGAUGAACUGGCACAACUUCCCUGCUACUUUCUUGAUUGUAAUGCCUAGAUAGGGAAUAGGAAAGUUAUUGAAAUGUAUGUGUUCCCAUGAAAUGUGUUUAUUUGUUGUUCAAGAUCAAUACUAAUAAAUGGGGACUAAUGUUCUGAAGUAUUUUGGAACAAUUAGAAUCACCACUCUUAACCCUGUGGCCAAAGUCUUAAAUGGACAGGGAGGAAAAUGUUUAUAAACUGAAGCAAAAAUUGAUCUACAUAGAAAAUAAAUCUGGAGUAUUUACUUGGUAGGUAUACUAGUUUCCUAGGGCUGCCAUAACAAGUUAUUACAAACUGGGUGGCUUAAAACAACAGAAAUUUGUUCUCUCACAGUUCUAAAGGCCAGAAAUCCAAAAUCAAGGUGUUUGCCAAAGCCAUGCUCUAGGGGAGAAUCCUUUGCUUCUUCCAGCUUCUGGUGGCUCCUGGCAUUACUUGGUUUGUGAGAGCAUAAUUCUAAUGUCCGCUUCUACCUUCAUAUGGCCUUCUUUCAUAUGACAUGUCAAAUCUUCCUCUCCUUUUUCUUAUAAGGACACCAGUCAUUGGAUUUCAGGCUCACCCUUAAGCCGGGAUGAUCUCAUCUCCAGAACCCUAACUUAAUUACAUCCACAAAGACCCUAUUUCUAAGUAAGAUCAUAUUCACGAGUACUGGG